rnacentral:rRNA from 1 species
GUGCCUACGGGGGGCAGCAGUGGGGAAUAUUGCACAAUGGGGGAAACCCUGAUGCAGCAACGCCGCGUGAGUGAAGAAGUAUUUCGGUAUGUAAAGCUCUAUCAGCAGGGAAGAAGAUGACGGUACCUGAGUAAGAAGCCCCGGCUAACUACGUGCCAGCAGCCGCGGUAAUACGUAGGGGGCAAGCGUUAUCCGGAUUUACUGGGCGUAAAGGGAGCGUAGACGGUGAGACAAGUAUGAGGUGACAGCCCGGGGCUCAACCCCGGGACUGCUUUGGAAACUGCCUGACU